AGGAUGAACGCUGGCGGCGUGCCUAAUACAUGCAAGUCGAGCGGUAAGGCCCCUUCGGGGGUACACGAGCGGCGGACGGCUGAGUAACACGUAGGAACGUACCCCAAACUGAGGGAUAAGCACCAGAAAUGGUGUCUAAUACCGCAUGUGGUCUUCGGAUUAAAGCUUCGGCGGUUUGGGAACGGCCUGCGCAUGAUUAGCUUGUUGGUGAGGUAAAAGCUUACCAAGGCGACGAUCAUUAGCUGGUCUGAGAGGAUGAUCAGCCAGACUGGGGCUGAGAACGGCCCAGACUCCUACGGGAGGCAGCAGUAGGGAAUUUUCCACAAUGGGCGAAAGCCUGAUGGAGCAACGCCGCGUGCAGGACGAAGGCCUUCGGGUUGUAAACUGUCUUUUAUAUGUGAAGAUUAUGACGGUAGCAUAUGAAUAAGGAUCGGCUAACGUCCGCGCCAGCAGCCGC
rnacentral:rRNA from 1 species